rnacentral:rRNA from 1 species
CUACACAUGCAAGUCGAGCGGUAGAGAGAAGCUUGCUUCUCUUGAGAGCGGCGGACGGGUGAGUAAUGCCUAGGAAUCUGCCUGGUAGUGGGGGAUAACGUUCGGAAACGGACGCUAAUACCGCAUACGUCCUACGGGAGAAAGCAGGGGACCUUCGGGCCUUGCGCUAUCAGAUGAGCCUAGGUCGGAUUAGCUAGUUGGUGAGGUAAUGGCUCACCAAGGCGACGAUCCGUAACUGGUCUGAGAGGAUGAUCAGUCACACUGGAACUGAGACACGGUCCAGACUCCUACGGGAGGCAGCAGUGGGGAAUAUUGGACAAUGGGCGAAAGCCUGAUCCAGCCAUGCCGCGUGUGUGAAGAAGGUCUUCGGAUUGUAAAGCACUUUAAGUUGGGAGGAAGGGUUGUAGAUUAAUACUCUGCAAUUUUGACGUUACCGACAGAAUAAGCACCGGCUAACUCUGUGCCAGCAGCCGCGGUAAUACAGAGGGUGCAAGCGUUAAUCGGAAUUACUGGGCGUAAAGCGCGCGUAGGUGGUUUGUUAAGUUGGAUGUGAAAUCCCCGGGCUCAACCUGGGAACUGCAUUCAAAACUGACUGACUAGAGUAUGGUAGAGGGUGGUGGAAUUUCCUGUGUAGCGGUGAAAUGCGUAGAUAUAGGAAGGAACACCAGUGGCGAAGGCGACCACCUGGACUAAUACUGACACUGAGGUGCGAAAGCGUGGGGAGCAAACAGGAUUAGAUACCCUGGUAGUCCACGCCGUAAACGAUGUCAACUAGCCGUUGGAAGCCUUGAGCUUUUAGUGGCGCAGCUAACGCAUUAAGUUGACCGCCUGGGGAGUACGGCCGCAAGGUUAAAACUCAAAUGAAUUGAC